AAGAAAUCUUCCUUUGGAUUGAUGGAUUUGGAUUGCAGUAUUGCAUGUCAAGAUCUGGCUUAGGCUGAAGCUUCCAGGAAUCUCUGGAAAAGGUUGUUGAGUAUCAACUGACUUUUAGUUUCUAGCAAUUAUGAUGGCAGAGAAGACAAGAACUGUUAUUUCUUCUGACUGUCAAUACAGGAAUGAGAGAAAAGAACUCUCAGAAGAAAAUAAUCAGAUGAAAACAUGGAUUUUUCCCCCUCAUCUGUGGCAUUCUAUAAUGAUUCUAGCACACUGCUGUGCUCUGACUGUGAGGCUGCUUGACAGGCAUUAAGGAAUCUGAGUGGUUUCAGCACAGAGAUGCAAAUGGUUGUAAAGGACUUUUCCCCGAGAACUUCACAUGCCACCUGGAACAGUUCUUCUCACAGGACACGAAUGUGGUUUGAAGCUCAGUCAGUGGGUCCUUGAAACACAGGAGCCCCCUUUUUUUGUAGUUCAGGCUGUUAAUAGUUUACAGAUUGGUUGCUUGUUGAAGCAUAUCAAAAUGAGCACGAGUGCAAGCAGUUAAGCUAGCCAUUUCUGAAGCAGUGCGUGAAAACAAAUCAAAUACAAACAGAAAUGUCCUCAUUUGUUCACAUGCACGUGGCAACAGGUUUGUUUGUGCUUUGCCAGAGCUGUGGUGAUCCUGUGUUUGGUCCUUUCCCAUGAAAUCCAAAAUUAGCCUCCUUGAUACCAAAACCUGAACUUGUCUGCACUCAGUGCAUCGUAUUGAGUUGCACUGCAGAAAACUUAAUUAGUAAUCCUGUAGUAAUGAGGUCAAACUAUUACAAGUUCCACGUGUUUAAAAAAUAUAAUUAACUGCUGCAAUGUUUUCCAGUGUUACUUGGACGUGUGUCUGCAGGUGCAUGUGGGUAUGUGUGCGUCUCAGCAGUGUCAUGCCGUGCUGUGGCUGUGCAGUGCCAUCAGGGCAUGCAUUGCUCUCCCACUGCCUGGCAAUACAGACAACAGUUUUGUUCCAAAGCAGAACCAGCUGCUCCAUUGCCAAAGCACUGCACAGCGUCUGUGUGAGUGAGGUGAGGUUUUCAUUCUGAGAUGAUGAAUGGCAUCACUGUCAAAGCUGCUGAACCUUUGAGAAGGCAUGGCUCGGUUUCCUCUCCCAGCUGCAGUACCUACAGUGAGGUAAUCUGGAAGGGGAACCGUUAUGAUGCUCAUCUAUACUUUUUUAUUUAGUUGGCUGAAUAAAAAAAACACGACAAAGUUAAUCUCUGAGAAAUAAACAUCUUUUCACAAUAAUAUUUAUGCAGCGCACCUUCACAGAUCCUUUUAAAUUAAGGUACAUAAUGUAUGCUGUAUCAAGAAGUCACCUGUAACUUCUGUUUUCCAGUGCUGUGUCAUUAAAAAUAAACCUGUGAUCCACA